rnacentral:rRNA from 1 species
UACAGAGGGGGCAAGCGUUGUUCGGAAUUACUGGGCGUAAAGGGCGCGUAGGCGGCCUUCUAAGUCGAACGUGAAAUCCCCGGGCUCAACCCGGGAACUGCGUCCGAUACUGGAAGGCUUGAAUCCGGGAGAGGGAUGCGGAAUUCCAGGUGUAGCGGUGAAAUGCGUAGAUAUCUGGAGGAACACCGGUGGCGAAGGCGGCAUCCUGGACCGGUAUUGACGCUGAGGCGCGAAAGCCAGGGGAGCAAAGCGGGAUUAAGAUGACCCGGGUAGUC